CAGGCUUCUGGAGCUAGGAAGAUAUUUAGAUCACUCCACUCACGUACAUCAUAUUUACGAAAGGAAAAGGAAGUUUCACAUUCGCAAAGUGAGGAUGGCAACUGUUCUUACCAGUAAGGGUUUGGUGACUGAAUACAAGGAAGCCUGGAGAAAAGUGCCUGUCACCGAAAAGAGCUCAGGACAGUCAUAGUGGACAUGUCAGUGCCCCGUGCAGGUCCUUGGGGACCUAAGGUCUUGGGUUAAGAAGCAACUGAGGCUGAUCUACAAAGACUCCAAGGCCCAAGCUAUGGAGGCUGGAC
rnacentral:lncRNA from 1 species